rnacentral:rRNA from 1 species
GACGAACGCUGGCGGCGUGCUUAACACAUGCAAGUCGUACGGAAAGGCCCUGUCUGGGUGGGGUGCUUGAGUGGCGAACGGGUAAGUAACACGUAAGUAACCUGCCCUUGACUUUGGGAUAACUUCAGGAAAUUGGGGUUAAUACCGGAUAGGAGUUCCUGCUGCAUGGUGGGGGUUGGAAAGUUCCGGCGGUGGGGGAUGGACUCGCGGCUUAUCAGUUUGUUGGUGGGGGGGUGGCUUACCAAGGCUUUGACGGGUAGCCGGCCUGAGGGGGUGACCGGCCACAUGGGGCCUGGGAUACGGCCAGAACUCCUACGGGGGGCAGCGGUGGGAAUUAUUGAACAAGGGGCGGAGGCCUAAGGCAGCAACGCCGGGGGCGGGAUGACGGCCUUCGGUUUGAAACCCGCUUUAGCAUGUACCGAGGCGUUUGUGACGGUAAUGGGUGAAGAAGCACCGGCUAACUACGUG